GCUCGAGUGGCGAACGGGUGAGUAACACGUGAGUAACCUGCCCUUGACUUUGGGAUAACUUCAGGAAACUGGGGCUAAUACCGGAUAGGAGCUCCUGCUGCAUGGUGGGGGCUGGAAAGUUUCGGCGGUUGGGGAUGGACUCGCGGCUUAUCAGCUUGUUGGUGGGGUAGUGGCUUACCAAGGCGGCGACGGGUAGCCGGCCUGAGAGGGUGGACGGCCACAUUGGGACUGAGAUACGGCCCAG
rnacentral:rRNA from 1 species